rnacentral:lncRNA from 15 species
UAAAUCUGAUCGUUCUGCUGUACAAUGUUAUGUCAACAAGGAAUAAGUAAAUAUCUUACAUUUUUGGCCGCAGUGCCCAUCAGCAUCACGGCAAACAGGAUCAGAGGAACUACGGACACUGGCCUCCACAUUCUUGCUCCAGUUACAUCAAAAGCAAAGUGACCACAGACUCCUAAUGUCUUUUUGAAGCGUCUUCUUCAACACCCAGCCUCCCCAUUACACCCAUCCAUUGCUGAACUAUGGGAGAUUUUAGGCCAGGGCUUCAGUUAAAUUAAAGUUCCCUGUCUGGAUCAAGUGUCUUGACAGACAGAGCAGCCCGGAGAAGUUGUUUAAUUUCACCCUGAAGAGGAGGGCGGUCUGAACUUACUCAUGCGGUCAACCCCAAACCUCCGUCUCCUCAUCUCAUUUCUAAUACUUACAAACAGUGACAGAGGCACAGAGAUUAGCUUGAAUCUUGUCGGAGAUUAUCCUGCUUGGGAAGCACUAAAGCGCUCAUGAAGAUUCAUUUGAGCUCCUGAAUUUGGGGGGCAGCACUGAUGUCAGCACUCACCUGUUAAGUAGACUGAUGACUGAGGAUAGAGAGAUGGGAUCCUCGGUUACUGCUGUUACUUUGUGCCCCCGCAGGUGGAUCCUGGUCUUGGUCAUCUUGGUGCAGCAGCUCAAUGCAGGGGAGAUUCUGGAGCCAUGUCAAGGAAGAGACUGCUCCGUAUGUCAGUGUCUUACUGUCAAAGGUGCACGGGUAUGGACUCUUUCUUCUCAUGUUGUUAUGUAUUGGAAAGUUAUCAU